rnacentral:misc_RNA from 1 species
GUAUUGACGUCUUUGAUAAUUGAAUACGGUUCUAUAUUACAAACUCUGGAAAUGAAUGAUUUCACUGAAAGCUAAUAUGCUGUAUUUAAGCUUCCACCUUCUCGUCUGCUUCGAGUUUCUUUUCCUUGUUGUCGAGGGUCAAAUCCUUCCAACUCCCGAGCUCUUCUGCAGAAUCCUCAAUACUGCUAAGUUUCUGCACCUUGUAUUGGUGUUUCAUUGAAAAUGCAAUGAAAAUCAAGAAAUUAAUUACUCCGAGAACUGCUAGCAACCAGUAGAAUAAAUCCAGUUUUCCUUUGUUUAAAUUGCUUUUAAGCCAUCUUCCUUUUGUUGCUUUCUGUACAACGAAUACUAGCAAACUACUCACGAAAUAUCCCAUCGAGAGUGUGCUGAGAAAUAGGCCUGUGCUCAUAGAUUUCAUCCCUUCUGGUGCCUCCCUGAUGAAAAACUCUAGCUGUCCUACAUAGGCAAAAGCUUCCCCAGCACCUACAAUGAAGAAUUGAGGCACUAACCAAAACGCGCUUAUCUUGAAGUUAUGAUGGAUGGCAUGUUCCCUUCGUCGUUUUUCUACCAGAGCUGAAGCUACCAUACCAACAAUAGAGAGUAGUAGUCCAAUUCCAACUCUCUGAAGGCUUGUGAUUCCUUGGCUGUUGUGAGUGAUUUUUCUGGCAAUACGUACUGUGACCCUUUCGUUUAUGGAAGUAAACAGAAGUAUGCUAAUAAAGAGAAACACGGAUAAGGAACCUGCAGGGACAGCAAAGUUUCCAACAUUCCGGUUCAUGAAGGUAGCUUGUUCAAUGGUGAAGGUAUUCAUCUGAGAGUAUACUGUCCAAAAAAGUAUGCAUGUGGACCAUAUGGGAAUCAAUUUGAGCACCAUUUUCACUUCUUCGACUUCUGUAACUGUUGAAACUAUCCAACGAUUCUUGCUAUUCUCAUUUGCAGCUGCAGAGUCAUCAAGAAUGGCUGCCUUGUCAAGACACCUCAACAUAUGUGUAUGUGGGACUUUGGCAUUGUGAUAUUCAUUCAAGAAGCCAGUAUCAGAAGGGUAACUAAGCUUUCUCUUCCUCCAAGCUAAAAGCAGAACCCUCCAUAUGAUAGUCAAAGGACUUCCUUGAGGCUUCUUGAAUCGAUACAACGUUGUUCCACCAAUCAAUACAGCGACCCCGAGGACCAUUGUGCCUGCUGAUAUCCCAUAUCCCCAUCCUCUUCCUACAUUGUCUUGUAAGUACACCAGCACAGUCACUGCAAACAGAGAACCAAGGCUUAUGCAGAAAUAGAAUCUGUUGAAGAAGUAUAUCAUGGACUUGUUCUCCUUAGGAUCUGAUGAGUCAAAUUGGUCUGAACCAAACCCGGAGACAUUUGACUUAAUUCCACCACCACCAAGAGCUAGGAUGUAAAGCGCCGUAUAGAGAAGAGCAAGCUGCUGGCCACUGGCUUCAAUGCAGUGACCACUUUUUCUUGGGUUACAUUCAGGCGGCUUCAUGCCUGGAAUGGAUGUCGCCAAUGUCAAAAGCGUAACCCCCACAGCAGCAAUUGAAGCAAAGAUUCCAACAGUCAGAUAACGUCCGAGUUUAGCAUCUGCCAAGAAACCACCUAGAAGACCAAGAAGAUUAAGUGUCCCCAUGAAAUUGGUGACAAUGUUGGCAGAUUUGGAGGAUGGAAGAUGUAAAUCUCCAACUAAGUACGUCACUAAAUUCAUCGAAAUCCCCAUAACACAUACCCUUUCUGAUAGCUCAGUUCCUAGGAUAAGUCCUGCAGCUAGCCAUCCCCCUGUCCUAGACUUAUCCACCGGAUUUCCUCGAAAAUCAACCAUAUUACCAUCUUCUGCACCAUCUUUUCCAGCAUGGUUAUCAACCAAAACCAUUGCUGUAAUAGAGAGAAGGAGAUGAUAUUAUAUUUG